rnacentral:rRNA from 1 species
UACGUAGAAGACUAGUGUUAUUCAUCUUUAAUAGGUUUAAAGGGUACCUAGACGGUAUAAUUAGUCUUAAACAGGAUACGAUUAUACUAGAAUUAUAUAUGAGGAGGUGAGUAUUUAUGCAGUAGAGUUGAAAUUCGUUGAUAGCAUAACGACUGGUAACGGCGAAAGCAACCUUUUAUCUAAUAACUGACGUUGAGGGACGAAGGCUCGGGUAACGAACAGG